UUGCUUCCUUUGUCAGCACAUAUACUCAAAGAGGAAUGGUACAAGAGUAGCCUGGCCCCUGUGUAAGGAUGACAUGCAUUCUUGUGACUCAUUCCAUGUUUUU